GAGUUUGAUCGUGGCUCAGAGCGAACGCUGGCGGCAGGCCUAAUACAUGCAAGUCGAGCGCCCCUUCGGGGGAGCGGCGGACGGGUGAGUAACGCGUGGGAACGUGCCCUUUGGUUCGGAACAACACAGGGAAACUUGUGCUAAUACCGAAUGUGCCCUUCGGGGGAAAGAUUUAUCGCCAUUGGAGCGGCCCGCGUUGGAUUAGCUAGUUGGUGGGGUAAAGGCCCACCAAGGCGACGAUCCAUAGCUGGUCUGAGAGGAUGAUCAGCCACACUGGGACUGAGACACGGCCCAGACUCCUACGGGAGGCAGCAGUAGGGAAUCUUGCGCAAUGGGCGAAAGCCUGACGCAGCCAUGCCGCGUGAAUGAUGAAGGUCUUAGGAUUGUAAAAUUCUUUCACC
rnacentral:rRNA from 1 species